rnacentral:rRNA from 1 species
AGCCUGCCCAGUGACAAAGUUAAACGGCCGCGGUACCCUAACCGUGCGAAGGUAGCGCAAUCACUUGUUCUUUAAAUGAGGACUAGUAUGAAUGGCAUCACGAGGGUUGCACUGUCUCCCCUUUUUAAUCAAUGAAACUGACCCCCCCGUGAAGAGGCGGGGAUAUAACUAUAAGACGAGAAGACCCCAUGGAGCUUUAAACUCAGUAUCAACCGCCUAACAACACAUCAUUACAAUUUGGCAGAUCUGAUUACUAGUUUUCGGUUGGGGUGACCGCGGAGUAAAACAAAACCUCCACGAUGAAAGGACCUAUACUCCUAAUCAUAGAGCCACAGCUCAAAGAAUCAAAAAACUGACAUAAAUUGAUCCAAUUAAUUUGAUCAACGAACCAAGUUACCCUGGGGAUAACAGCGCAAUCCACUUCAAGAGCCCCUAUCGACAAGUGGGUUUACGACCUCGAUGUUGGAUCAGGGUAUCCCAGUGGUGCAGCCGCUACUAAAGGUUCGUUUGUUCAACGAUUAAAACCCUACGUGAUCU